UACGUAGGGGGCAAGCGUUGUCCGGAUUUAUUGGGCGUAAAGAGCGUGUAGGCGGCUGGGUAGGUCCGUUGUGAAAACUCGAGGCUCAACCUCGAGACGCCGAUGGAAACCCUCCAGCUAGAGUCCGGAAGAGGAGAGUGGAAUUCCUGGUGUAGCGGUGAAAUGCGCAGAUAUCAGGAAGAACACCGGUGGCGAAGGCGGCGACCUGGUCCAUUACUGACGCUGAGGCGCGACAGCGUGGGGAGCAAACAGG
rnacentral:rRNA from 1 species